UAUGGACCAUAAUUUCUUAUGGAAAUUUCUUAUGGAAAAUGUGGAAAUAUUUUCUCACCUCCUCUCCCCUCCCAUCCUCUUCCCUUUCCUUCCCUGACUGCAAAUGUGGACCAAGAAACAUCAUUAAUUUUACAAGCAAGGCACCAAUUUUUUCCAGAAAUGUAGAAUUAGAAAAUGUGAGAGCAACAAAGAUAGAUGAAGUAAUGAGAUCCAAAGAGACUGUGCUUUGCCCAAAGUUAAUAUAACUAUUUUCAGAAGAGGGACUAGAACUCAAGCCUUCUAAGUCACCAUCAUUUAUCUUAAUAAUGGCCAAAUUUGUGUUAAGGCAAAUAGUGGUCUCUUGUUGUAUUAAAAUAUUUCUCUGUUUUCCUGGAAAAUAUGCAGAGGUUUCUGAGACUAAGUUUUUAACUUGGAAAUAUUUAUAUGGCUGUCAUUAAGAUGAGUCCAAUAAGAUUUAAUUGUCUAUGCUUUUCCAUAAUGAUAAUUCAUGAGAUAUGUGAUUGCAGAAUUCUAGUUGCAAAAUGAUAUGGCAAAUUAAUGCUUUUAAUAAUUCUCUUUACUUAUUUGUAUGUGUAUAUGUAUGUAUGUGUGUUUGUAUAAGUGGAAAGUAGUUAUUUGAAUACCAGGCUUGGGUAACCAUUGAAGAUAUCAAGUGAAAAGAUUCUCUAACACUUGGAGUUCAGUGAAUCUGUAAGAUAUUUCAUUUAUUGAGGAUGAUUUAUGAUUAUUUCCUAUUACCACAAAAAGCCUCUUAGCCCUAUGGUAUACCUUGAGUUUUCCCAGAAUGGGUUACAGGGAAUGGUAGAAAAUUCUCUAGGCUUUGGAGCCAGAUGGACUUAGGUUUGAACUGAAGCUUUACCACUGAAUAGUUUGUGAGCUUGGGCAACUUGUUGAACCUUUCCGAAGCCAGUUGAUCCUCUGAAUAUGGCAGGAUAAUCUGUUCAUAAACUGACUUGUGUUUCUUCUUGCUAUUUUCCAUCCCAAGAACAUAGGUGGAUGCACUUGUCUCAGAGCAUUAAUGGCUUACUUCAGAAGUUGCAAGGUCCCAAUAUGCUAACCCCUUACUAAGAUUUCUGGAACAUUGAUGAGGGCUGGAACUCGGAGUUGAUGAAGCAGAGGAAAUCUACCCCGGGAAAGAAAAGAGGAAUUCAUUCCUAGAGAUAGGAAAGAUGGUGGUGUUUUUGGGAUGACUCAUAAAGCCUCCCAUGUGUUCUCCUCAGUGUUCUUCUCCCCUCCCAGCGGCUGGACUGUGGAUACCCAAGGGCAAUCUUGAGAUCCAUCUGUUGAACACAGAAGAACCGUUGUCAGCCUGGGCCCUAGACUGUUAACAUUCAUCAAUCAUGCGGUGGGAAAAGGCUCUGUUUUCUAGAGAAAAGACUAGCACUACUGUCUGAUCAUCAACGAGGGGUUUUGUGGCCUUGCGGAGACAGCUCUCAAGACCACGUAACUUCAGGAGAGCGUCAGAGAUUAAAAGGAAAUCAAGGUUUCCACCGAUGGAAACUUUACCGAGCAGGUGUGCGUGUGUGUGUUUGACGAGGAGAAAAGGGCGGGUCCUCCGGAGCUGGCUGCUGGGCUUUACUCACAGGAGAGCGUGAAUGUCACUGAGUUACAUGAGGCUCUGCUCCGGCUUCCUUUUUAAAAACUCUUAAUUUUGGAUCGGCUAAGACCAAAGGCAUAGGGCCUCUGGAGCACAGGCAGAACAAGCUGCUUGGGAUUUAUGCUUUUCUGGUACUCAGUUUGCUUGGGGAGCAGGUGGAGAGGUGAGACUUAUACUAGGAAGUCUUAAUACUCCAAACCUCAUAUCCCCUCUUGUAUUCUGUGUUUUUGACAAGUUGCUAAAAGAAAGAAUCCCAGGCCAGACGGAUGAUCUAAUUGCAAACUGCAUAGGAAAUAGUUUGGGCUUUGGGGUGUAUUAGUUCUACGGAAUAACUCCGAUGUGUUUUCGUUAUCUGUCAAGUUCUUGCUCUGUGUUUAUAGUACAGCACUUUGGAGUUGAGAGAAAUUAGAGGACCCCCUCCCCACUAGAAGGACAUAUCAAAUCCUGCCUCCCCUUUUAUUGCUGCUUUUUCUAACAAAUGUAGCAAAGAGAGUGAAUAUAAAGAACCAAGCUCUUUCUACCUCUUCGUUGCCAAAAAAAGCCCCCCAAAACAAAAAAAAACCCUCAAAAAACAAAAAAUAUCAAACCCAGACACAACAGGUUAGAGAAAAAAAUGUCUACAUGAAAUGGCAUCGGGGCCCUGGGUUCUGGUUUCCUCUGUGACUCUAAUUUUAUUAGAAAAAAAUUGCUGGUGGUCAAACCUACAGACUGCAUUUCUCUGGUGACAACACAGUGAGCACCAAAAUCAGUUUCUUUACCCACCUGAAAUCCAAAGGAAAAAAAAAAAAAGGUGUUUUAUGUGUCCUGGUGAAAAAUAGGAAAUAGUGAUUGGUCAAAAAAGUCCUGGACUCCACAACGUUAUCUGUGGCCGAAUUCUUAAAACAGGAAAAUGGCUCCAAAUAUUCCCCCUACCCCCCCACCCGCCGAUAUUUACCAUCCUGACAAGGCUUUGAUGUCAUUGAUAGAAACAGAGUUCUUAUACAGAGGCCGCGCAUUAUAUUUAUUCCUUUGUAGACGUUAUCUCUGAAUUGGUACCAUCCUGCCAUCGACGAUAGUUGAAGAUUCUGGCUGGGAAAACAAAAUCCUGAUUGUCUAACAUAAAGGUAACAUAUAACACAGAAGGUAAAUAAUAUAAGAGAGCCUGACUGAACCUCCUUUGUUAGUAUGUAUGGGAUUUUAGGUCACAGUGCAUGUGCAUGUAUAAGUAAUAGUCAUAUAUAAUAUUCUCAGAUAUUAUAUGCUUAUUACAUACAUGCACAGUGCUUUCCAAGACAGCUACAAAUUUACACAUGCAUCAGCUAUCUAAAAACAUAGAAAUAGGUAAGCCUAUUAAGUGGAAUUUUCUUAAAUUAUAUUUGAACAAUUAACAGGAAAAGUAAUCAUGUAAAGUACCGCUCUGUUCUUGUACGUAUCUACAAUAAAAUUCUAUAAACAGUUGUCUCCCAAAACAUACCCGAAUAAAAUAAAAUUAAAAAAAAAAGAUAACACCCAGUGUCCUAUAUUUGUAUAUUUAUGGUCAUUUCAAAAACAAACAAAUAAAAGAGCCCCACUCAGGUGCGUAUUUACAUUCUUCAAACUGUAGCGGUGAAAAAUAAUUCUAUUAAGUGCAGGACAUUCCUAAUGUUGCAGUAGUGACAUUUUUCUUAAGUCUUCAUGAACACAUUGCUUUUGUCUUAAUGGUGACGCAUUCCACGACUAGGAGACAGUUCUCUCGUUGCCUUCAUUUGCAGACGGUGGCACAGUCAGGAUUAAAGAGCUCCUUGUACAAUGGAGGAAAGAGUGUAUUCACUAUGUCUGGAUGUGAUUGUUUAAAUACCUGCAGCUUCUCCCCGUGCAAGUUGCAGACCGCCGUGAUGAUUUUUAUGAUAUGAACACGAGAUUCUCGGUUUUGGAAGGCGACGUUGUUAGGAAAGCCACCUUGUGAAGACAGAUGUGAGUAACGUUACCACACACUCGAAAGCAGACUGAAAACCUGCGGUGGGUGCCAUGCAGGAAUGAUCUAGAAGUGGUAAAGAUUAUCCCAGUGUCCACAUAGCUAAAGUCCCUUGGGAAAUCAUCCAAGCUCUCUCAACCAAGUGGUUCACACAGACGGAGACUACAAUUUGGAACACUUCUUAUACAUGACGGUCUCCCUGAAAUAGCUAUUGAAUGCAGGGAGGUUUUGAAAGCUUUCUAUAAUCACCUGCAGUUGAACUGAUGCUAUGCAGAGCUCCUGAAACUUCCAGAUGUGAUUCUAUAAUGACUGCCAACCUUUACUCUGCAUAAGAAUCACUGGGGUGCUUCCUAAAAAUGCAGAUUCCUGGGAUCUACCCCUAGGGACUCUAUUUCAGUAAGUCUGGGUGGAGCUGAGACUCCACGUUUGAAACAAACAUCUCCUGGGAUACUGAUGGACUCGGGCCAUGGAAUGGACAUUAAAAGACACUAUCAUAGGGGCUUCUGGGGGGCUCAGUCAGUUAAGCAUCUGACUCUUGGUUUUGGCUCGGGUCAUGAUCUCACAGUUUCGUGAGUUCGAGCCCCAUGUGGGGCUCUGCUGGCAGCACGGGACCUGCUUGGGAUUCUCUCUCUCCCUCCCUCUUUGCCCCUCCCCCACUUGCACUGUCUGUCUCUCUCAAAAUAAAUACACUUAAAAAAAAAAAACUACUACAGAGGUUCAAAUCAUAUAAAUUUACAACUAAUUUUCAAAAUUGAAAAGUAAAUUCUGUAUCAAACUUGGAACAGUCCUGGGAGCCAAAUGGAAAGUCAGCUCCUUUUCAGGAGGCAGAGACAGAAUCAUCAUUCCCAGAGAAGGGAGGUUCCAUUUGCUUAGCUCUAUUAGUUUGCUGGGGGGACCGGCAAUGGGAUUCCCUGAGUUCCCUAUGACACACAAAUACAACAUAGAGAAGAUUAGCCUAGUGAUAAAACAAAAACAAAAACAAAAACAAAAACAAAAGCUAUGGGUUAGAAAGCCCAACUGUUGGGUUUGAAUCGCGGACCUGCUAUUUACAGCUGUGUGAUCUUGGGCAAGUCAGUUAACUUCUCAGCUUCCUUAUCCAUCAGACAGUCCCUACCUCAGAGGAUUGUUGUCAGGGUUACCUGGGUCAAUCCAAACUGUCUAUAGCGGUGCCUGGCACAUGGUGGCCAUAUACGUGUUAGGUGUUAUGCUUCCGUUUCCACAUAAUGUUUCCUUCAAAGAGAGGAAUAGUCAAGGCUAUGCUCGAUCAGGGGGCAAGAACCCAACAUAACCCUUAACUGAGCACCGAAAGUGGAGUCACGUGUUAAUGUAUGGGGAAAUCAGCCAUUUACUUUUGUUGAAAUGAAAAAGCAACAUCAUAUGGAUGAUCAUUUUUUUGGAGCAAUUAAAGUAACUUGCUGAUCUAAUAAACUGUGAUGUAUAAAGUAGAAGCCUAUAGAAUUUUUUUUUUAAUUUAAUUAAUUUUUUAAAUUUACAUCCAAGUUAGCACAUAGUGCAACAAUGAUUUCAGGAGUAGAUUCCUUAAUGCCCCUUACCCAUUUAGCCCAUCCCCCCUCCCACAAUCCCUCCAGUAACCCUCUGUAGCAUCCUAUAUAAUUCUUAAAACUUUUUUUUUUUCCUUUAGUGAAGGGGAGAUAUGAGAAAUUAGAUGCAUAAGAGGAUGACCCUUCUGUAGUUGCUCAUUUGCACUGGUAAUAUUUAGCUGUGUGUUCGGCUUUGGAAAGUGAAUAUGGACUCUUGCUUCCUUCCUGCUCCAAACUGGGGUUUAAGAAACGUCUGGCUCGGGUCCUAGUUCUUCCGUCUUUUAUGGGAUUUGGAUCUUACCCUGCUGCUCAUCUGUAUAAUGGGCCGGGAUGGUGAGGAUAACUUUUUCUUAAGGGCAAUGGGGCUGCUUUAGCAAAGAGCACCCUAACCUGCGUGCUCUCAGAAGAGGCUGUUUUAGAAGCCUCCAGUCAGCUGUGGAAAUAGAAGUUCUGACAGACAGGGGCAUCCAUCGCUCCGGAGGCGGGAAGGGCCAGGAGGCCAUGUGGACACAGCAGCAGCGCUUGUCAGAGCCCAGAAGGGCCUGGUGGAGGAAGCAGCAGGCAGUCACUUACUUGCUCAUUAAUAUUAUGUACCGCAGCUGGGGGACCCCCAUUUCAAAGGGAGUUUAGAGCAGCCUCCGCAGCAGUUAAUGGCUCAACAACUUUUUAAACAGCUGGGGAGGUGAUCCAGAAGCAUUUGGAGAUGGAGGGGGUAGUCGAUUUCAAAUCAUCAUGAAAUGUCUUCAUGUUUAAAUAAUCCCCAUAGCAGGAGUAGACAGAGGGUCUAGAAAAAGGCAUUUUCCCCCUCCUCUUUCUCUUAUGACCAAGCGUUUCCUAGAAGAUAAGGAAGCUUUAGCUUAUACCUACAGGGGUUGACCAGAAGAAAAAGCGGCUGUUGGAGAAGGGCUAAUAAUCCUAUGCUUCUUUCUAGGGAGUGGUUUUAUGAGAAAAUCCACAAUUUUAUAACUAGUACAUUCGAUAUGGAAAAUGGAACAUGCAGAGGGUAAAACUAGUGAUUUUGUUCAUACGGGCUUCCCGGCCAUUGCAAUGCCCUCCAACCUGAAGCAGGAAGCCAACGAUGGUUUCACCAAAGUGGAAGAAACUUCAAAAUCACUGAUAAACACAGGGCACAUCAAGUGAGGCUAACUAUAUCCAUUUCACUUGCUCACUCGCUUUUCUAUAUUUUUUAUUUUGCUAUUUCCUUAUUUCUUUAUGUUUAGCUAGACCUAGACAUGUGGAUUAGAAUUGGAAUAUCGGAUUUGAAAUAUUCAUCAGGUCAUAAGCCUUCCCUGCCCCUCCUCACCCCAUCCUUGGCAUCCAUGUGGAGCUGGCCAACUAAAGUGGCAGUGGACAUUGAUUCAUCUGCGGUCGAAAUCUGGAAUUGGACCGAGAGCCAGCAGCUUACUUUCUAAAUGUAGCAGAAACUUCCAGUAAGUGAAGAAGCUGAGAGCUAGCUGUAUUUCACUACGCGGACCAGGGAAGCAGACUCAGCUGGUAUUCAGGGAGGGGAGAGAAGAAGGAAAGCUUUCCGAUUCCUCGUUCCAGGGCCACCCUGAAUGGUGGCCGAGUUUUCAUCCUUAGGUUCCACGAGAUCUCUCUCCGUUAUUUUAUUUUUUUCUUUUUGCUUAAGCUAGUGUGAGUUGGUUCCUAUUACUUGUUAUCACAGACUUCUAAGGAAUGCACCAACUUCCAACUUGACGUGUGGGCAGUUGCAUCAAGACAUCUCUUUUCAUUUAUGGACCGUUAGUCUAAUGGAGAACCUCUGGGAUGUCUGGGUCUUAGACAUGUGGCGCACGCCAGCAAACUCUGGAUGGCUAAAAUGGACCAAAAUAAUCUGAUCCUUCACAGGAAUUCUGCAGGGGAACCGCUCAGGAACACCACCAUGUGUCAUCACCACUUUCUCCCUUGCAUCUGGCACAGAGCACAUGCUCCUAAUAAACAUAUGCUGAGGUGGAAAACUACCCCAGAAGAAAGCUGUAUUUCUUGAGUAUGGAUUCAGAAUUUAAAAUCUUGAGCGAUGUGCUGAAUUGCUUUCUAUAGUUUUGUCUAUGCUUGGGUUAUUUUAAAGCAUAAAUACCAUUGUGAGGAAGCCGGAGAAGCCUAAGUAGGCCUUCUGGGGUGCCCGGUUUCACCCGGGGAAGUGGUUAUGUGGGUAUGUUACCUUUGUGAUCGUUCACUGCGCUAUCUACUUAUCAUUUAAGAGCUUUUCAGCAUGUGUUAUACUUUAAAAAGCAUGGGAAUUUUUUUUUAAAUUUUUUUUCUUAAUGUUUUUAUUUAUUUUUGAGACAGAGAGAGACAGAGAAUGAACGGGGGAGUGGCAGAGAGAGAGGGAGACACAGAAUCGGAAGCAGGCUCCAAGCUCUGAGCCAUCAGCACAGAGCCUGAUGCGGGGCUCGAACUCACAGACCGUGAGAUCGUGACCUGAGCCGAAGUUGGACGCUCAACCGACUGAGCCACCCAGGCGCCCCCAUGAGAAUUUUUUUAACGUCCAUUUAUUUCUGAGAGAGAGAGGAAGAAAGAGCAUGCAUGGAGCAAGUGCACAAGCAGGGGAGGGGCAGAGACAGGGAGGGAGAGAGAAUCCCAAGCAGGCUCCGCACUCUCCGUGCAGAGCCCAACAUGGGGCUCAAUCCCACGAACCAUGAGAUCAUGACCUGAGCUGAAAUCAAGAGUUGGAUGCUUAAUCGAGUGAGCCACGCAGGCACCCCAGAAAGCACAGGAAUUUUCAAGUGUGAAACAAAGCCCUAGCCAAAUGGAAAGAGGAAUGAGGAGGCUCAUCAUUUGGGUAGGGGCUCCCAAGUACUUGCUGGACAGACUGCUCUUUAAGAUUAAAGUGACCCCAAAUCCCUAAAGCCACCUAUUAAGAAUUCUAGUAUAACACCUAGUGUCUUCCAAGAAGAAAGCAGACUUUAGAUAGCAACAUCCCAUUAUUAGUCAGGACACAGUCUGUUUUGACCUCAUUGAGAAAACAACGAAGGUCAGUGUAAAUGACGCUGUGCGGUUCUCAUCCAUCUCUCAGUCAGGAUUUGCUCCAUAGACUCUAUCUGUGAAUCAACAUGUUGUUUUUUUU